UAUGUCUAUAUUCUGAAUAGUAAUCAUUCUCGCUAACUAGUACUUAAAGUCAUGUUUUAACCUGUUAAAAUUAUAUUAUCGAAACCAUUAUUUUUAAGGUCUGUCUGAAGAGCCUAGCCUUUUGACUGUUUUGCUCUGGGCAAAAGUGAAAUGUUGCAUUCUUCAAAUCCACUUGCUAUGACUUGAACACUGGAUCACUCUUCAAGCAGAAGAAAUUUUUUGAGAUUAUCUUCAGGUGACUGACCAUUUCAGUAGUCCCUUUACACAGAUGGAUACCUGUGUUAAUGGUGAUAUUAAUUUUUCGACCUCAGGAGAAGACUAUCCUUAUUUUCUCAAUGUCUUUCUUACACCAGGGAUUGGAUCCAAGCUCUGAAGAAGCAUGACUCUUUUGAAGACCUAAAUAGAAUUUGACAUCUAACCUGAGUUCUGUAAAAACCUACCUUACAAACUGCAGUUAAUAGCCCACACAGGCAACUGGAUAAACCAGAACAGGCUUACUAAAUCAAAAAAAAUAUAAAAUUAGAAAGAUUAAAAAUAUGCAAGAUAACAAAAUUUUAUUUUCAGAGGCAAACAUUUUUUACUAAGAAUCGAUGAGUUCUGGAAACAUAGAUGAAACAACUUUUUGGUUAGGUUAAGCACUUUAAGGCAAUAUAGAUAGGACUGUGAAUCAUUUACAUAGUGCAAAUAUUUUUUUCAGGCUAAUCCCAGGUUUUUAUUUUUUCUUUAAGAACUGAUCAGUUAUUCCACUGAAUUAUGCCAAAGUUCUUCUUAAUCCAGCAUUUCCUUAACUUUUCCUCAUAUUACACCUACCUUGUCCCAUUCAGAUCAGUGGUGUUGCCUAAAGAGAGACUGUAGAGGAAAAGAGGCCAAGAUAAGAUAAAGAGAGUAGGUCCUUUAAUCAGCCUACAGGCCCAGGGAAUACACAUAAUGCAUACGUGUCCAUACAGUG
ensembl:lncRNA